rnacentral:rRNA from 1 species
UAGGGAAUAUUGGGCAAUGGGCGAAAGCCUGACCCAGCGACGCCGCGUGAGGGAUGAAGGUCUUCGGAUUGUAAACCUCUUUCAGUAGGGAAGAAGCGAAAGUGACGGUACCUAAAGAAGAAGCACCGGCUAACUAUGUGCCAGCAGCCGCGGUAAUACAUAGGGUGCAAGCGUUGUCCGGAAUUAUUGGGCGUAAAGAGCUCGUAGGUCGUUAAUCGCGUCGGUUGUGAAAAUCUGAGGCUCAACCUCAGACCUGCAUUCGAUACGGGUUAACUAGAGUGUGGUAGGGGAGACUGGAAUUCCUGGUGUAGCGGUGGAAUGCGCAGAUAUCAGGAGGAACACCAAUGGCGAAGGCAGGUCUCUGGGCCAUUACUGACACUGAGGAGCGAAAGUUCGGGGAGCGAACAGGAUUAGAUACCCUGGUA